rnacentral:lncRNA from 1 species
CGGUCGAUUCGACUGAAGUUUGGUAUAUUACAUUAAGUUUAGAGAUAGAAAGAUAAGGUUAGAGAGAGAUGACAUUAUAAAGUAAAAAAAAAUAAUACUAACUAGCCGGCGGAAGGAAAGAAAGAAAAGAAGUGGACUACAUUAGACCCUCUUUCAAAAGAAUGAGAUUACUACUUUGAAAUGAAUCUUAUUGUCACGUAAAUUCAAAAUUACCAAUUAGAUUAAUGCUACCCACUUCGUUUAUUUUAUUUAUUUCCUAGCUGUAAAUGUGAAUUAAGUAGGAUUCGAAUUUGAAAAUUCGGAUACAAACCAUCAAAUCUUUUGCCACUUGCGUUAGAGACAGUUGGUAAUGAAAUCCAUUUUUAGGUAUAAUUUUCCCUCUUAAAAAUAUUGAGGCAUAUAAUGGAUUCCCAACCCAACGUUGCACCCAUCGUCACCGUCCAUGUCAUCACGUACCAUCGAGAUUCAGCCUUCAGAAAAAACUAGUCUACAAACGUGCGCUGCACGUGUUAAUUAGCAAACUAAAUUUAAAAAUAAAAAAUCAUAAAAUUAUUUUUAAAAUAAAUAAUAUUUAAAUUUGUGUUAUAUAAUGUAAUUUUGACAUUUCUA